UACGUAGGGCGCAAGCGUUGUCCGGAAUUAUUGGGCGUAAAGAGCUCGUAGGCGGCCAGUUGCGUCCGCUGUGAAAUCCCGGGGCUUAACCCCGGGCGUGCAGUGGAUACGGGCUGGCUAGAGGCAGGCAGGGGAGAACGGAAUUCCCGGUGUAGCGGUGAAAUGCGCAGAUAUCGGGAGGAACACCGGUGGCGAAGGCGGUUCUCUGGGCCUGUACUGACGCUGAGACACGAAAGCCAGGGGAGCAAACGGG
rnacentral:rRNA from 1 species